rnacentral:lncRNA from 1 species
UUCACAUAGACGUUGAGCUCCAGAGGCUCAACUCUGCCUCGUCUGCGUUCUUCACACCUGAGAAACAGGCAGGGACAGGCCUCUCUACAUACGUUGUUAUAGAACUGAAAGAUGACCACGACGUACAUGGUGGUAGAACACGUGUAUUUACAGACAAACAGGAGGCUGUAAUCCUGUCAUCUUCCAUAACAUCAGAGUGAGCUUAUCAACCAUAGCCCCCAUCCUUCAGAAACACCAUCUCUGGAUGAAGCAAAUCUACAGAGUCAUAUCUGAAAGGAAAUCCCAAAGAGUGAAGGAUAAACAGUAGGAAUAUAUGCAAAGAAUCAUGGAGUUGGAUGCAAAUCCCGUC